UGAGGAAUUUUGGACAAUGGGGGCAACCCUGAUCCAGCGACGCCGCGUGAAGGAUGAAGGUCUUCGGAUUGUAAACUUCUUUUAUCUGGGAAUAAGAAACUCAUGGAAACAUGGGGAGUGAAUGUACCAGGUGAAUAAGCAACGGCUAACUUCGUGCCAGCAGCCGCGGUAAUACGAAGGUUGCAAGCGUUACUCGGAAUUACUAGGCGUAAAGGGCAGGUAGGUGGUUUGGUAAGUCUGUUGUGAAAGCUCCUGGCUUAACUGGGAGAGGUCAAUAGAUACUGUCGAACUUGAGUAUAGGAGAGGUUACUGGAAUUCCCGGUGUAGCGGUGAAAUGCGCAGAGAUCGGGAGGAACACCAAUGGCGAAAGCAGGUAACUGGACUAUUACUGACGCUAAGCUGCGAAAGCUAGGGGAGCAAACAGG
rnacentral:rRNA from 1 species